rnacentral:rRNA from 1 species
CCUUACUCCUACGGGAGGCAGCAGUAGGGAAUCUUCCACAAUGGACGCAAGUCUGAUGGAGCAACGCCGCGUGAGUGAAGAAGGCUUUCGGGUCGUAAAACUCUGUUAUUGAAGAAGACAGUGUGUGACAGUAACUGGUCAUGCAGGACGUAUCACCAAA